AACAAUAUAGAAGUCCUAGUAGUAGUGAGGACAUUCGAUGAUCCAAAAUUGGAAUUGAUAUUAAUUUUUGUGUUUCUUCUGUGGGUUGGUUUUCAUCAGUUUGAGAUACCUUAAGCAAUGUAAUACCACUGGAUAAAAUCCCUAUCCAAAAUUCCUCAAACCAGCUCAUAACCAGCUAUGAUAAUCAUGAAUGUUACCGCUGCCGCCACGUGGCCGCCACUGGACCGGCCCCCGUGAUGCUGGCGCCGCUGGCGUGGACCGGCACAGAGAGAAGAGGAACAGCUGAGCGGAACGACGUAGAAAAAAUAUGGCGUACCAGUGGUGCCCUGUAUAACUUUUGUAAUUCGGACACUUUUCUUUGAAAUAUAUUAUAGGAAAUUGAUUUUUAAUAA